GUGAAGGUGUGUAUGUGUGUGUUAGUAUCAGGAUCAGAGAAUGACAGAUUUCCUCUGUUCCAGUCCAGAGUGACUCUGAUCCUCUGGAGCUGCUUCUUAAAUGGGAGAUCAGUAAGAUCUGGUGGAGACCAUGCUGAGUAUUCA